AUUAUUAUUAUUUCCUUCUAUUCCAAAUCCUUAUUUAUUUAUUUAUUGCAUCUUCCCCUAUUCAUUACAUUCUCUAUUAUUAUUAUUAUUAUUAUUAUUAUUAUUAUUAUUAUUAUUAUUAUUAUUAUUAUUAUUAUUAUUAUUAUUAUUAUUAUUGUAUGUGUAUGUAUAUUGCUACUCUUAAGGACAGUAUUGCUAUCAGUAUUACAAUUAUUACUAUUAUUACUAUUAUUAUUAUUACUAUUAUUUAUAUUGUUUUGGUCUAGUCUUUGGUUCGACACGAGAAAGCGAGGCUCGUAAUCUCCGUUUCCGAGCCCCUAGAGGAGGAGGAUCAACCUGUGUUUUAACCCUACCAAAAAAGGUGUUCCAAUUAGUCCAGGAAAGGUGUUGAAAGUGCCCAGAAAAGGUGUUGAAAGUACCCAGGAAAGGUGUUGAAAGUGCCCAGAAAAGGUGUUGAAAGUGCCCAGAAAAGGAGUUGAAAUAGCAUCCAGAAAAGGUGUUUAAACAUUCUAAGAGGAGAGAGAAGAGGUGUUUUUCCAGGGUGACAGAGGUUUGAUACACGCCUGAAUGGGAUCAAGUCAUGUGUUGUGAGAGUCCAGAAAGGGUGUUGCGAACUGUAUCGAGAGAAGAGUUGAGCAAAAUGACAAAGGUUCAACAAAAAAAAGGUGUUUGAAUAUAGCACAGAUUAGGUGUUUAACCCCUUCACUACGGCCGGGCCUAAACAGCGCCCCGCACCGUAUCCGGGAUCGCCGCGCACGCCAAAUUUCAAAUGCCGCUAUUGAAUAUAACAAGUUUUCAUCCAUAAACUCAACAUAAUCAUCAUGUAUUAUAUAUGAAAACAUGCAGAAUUAAAUGGUGCACAUAAAUAAACAUAAAUUAAUUGAUAAAUAUGGAGAUAAAAUAACUCAUAUAUUGGCCUAAGCGAGGCGGGACACAGUAUACGCGUCCUCGGAUAUGGUACAGGGCACGCAAGGACACAAUAGUAUAUGCAUCCUCGUGUUGAAGGGGCUAAGUGCACUAAGAUGGUGUUUUAUAGGAGGUGACGAAGGUGCGAUGCGUGCCUUAACCCAAUCAAAAAAUGCAUUUAUUAUUACUGUUAUAUUAGGGUCAAGAAAAGGUGUUAAAGUGUACUGAGAAGGUAUUUUAUAGGAGGUGACGAAGGUACAAUGCGUGCCUUAACCCAAUCAAGAAAUGCAUUUAUUAGUACUGUUAUAUUAGGGUCUGAAAAAGGUGUUUAAAAAUGCCCGAAAAAGGUGUUUAAAAAUGCCCAAAAAAGGUGUUUAAAAAUGCCCAAAAAUGGUGUUUAAGUGUACUGAGAAGACAUUUUACAGGACAUGACAAAGGUACAAUGCGUGCCUUAACCCAAUCAAGAGAUGCAUUUAUUAGUACUGUUAUAUUAGGGUCCAAAAAAGGUGUUUAAAAAUGCCAAAAAAAGGUGUUUAAGUGUACUAAGAAGGCAUUUUAUAGGACAUGACAAAGGUACAAUGCGUGCCUUAACCCAAUCAAGAAAUGCAUUUAUUAGUACUGUUAUAUUAGGGUCUGAAAAAGGUGUUUAAAAAUGCCCAAAAAAGGUGUUUAAAAAUGCCCAAAAAAGGUGUUUACGUGUACUGAGAAGACAUUUUACAGGACAUGACAAAGGUACAAUGCGUGCCUUAACCCAAUCAAGAGAUGCAUUUAUUAGUACUGUUAUAUUAGGGUCUGAAAAAGGUGUUUAAAAAUGCCAAGAAAAGGUGUUUGGAAUGAGAUGAAGAGAGUGGUGUCUGUCUGUCUGUCUGUCUGUCUGUCAUACAAACACACAGACAGAGGAAGAAAGGAAGAAGAUGGAAAGGAAAGAAGGAAGCAAAAGAAAGGAAGGAAAAUGAAGGAAAAAUUAAGUUACUGAGAGGAAGGAAAAGGGAAAUGGAAAAUAAAAAGACAAAAGAGAAAAGAAGGAAAACAGGAAAGAAGGAAGCAAAAGAAAGGAAGGAAAAUGAAGGAAAAAUUAACUUACUGAGAGGAAGGAAAA